GGCCACACUCUGCAUAUUCUGGUCUGCAGCUCUUGACAGGGUGGUGGCAACAUGGUCUUCAGGGCUCAACUCCUCAGCCUCCUGCUGCUCUGGACCCAUGAAUCCAUGGGGGACAUUGUGAUGACACAGACUCCGGAUUCUCUGACAGCAUCUCCCGGAGACACUGUCACCAUCCGCUGCAAAGCCAGUUCCAGUGUCAGCAGCUGGAUGGCUUGGUAUCAACAGAAAUCUGGACAAUCUCCAAAGCUCCUCAUCUACAGCGCUUCCAGCCGCCCCUCUGGGGUCUCAGACCGGUUCAGCGGCAGUGGGUCUGGGACUGACUUCACUUUCACCAUCAGCAGGGUGGAGGCCGACGAUGCUGGAUAUUAUUACUAUUCCAGGGGUGACAUUGUGAUGACCCAGUCUCCAGACUCCCUGAAUGUUGUUCCCGGAGACAAAGUCACCAUCCACUGCCAAGCCAGUGAGAACAUCGACCAGUGGUUAGCCUGGCUCCAACAGAAACCUGGCCAGAGCCCCAAGAGCCUGAUCUAUGAUUCCAACAAACGAAUGCCAGGGGUGCCAGCCCGCUUCAGCGGCAACAGACUCCAGAGGCGAGAUCGUGCUGACUCAGUCUCCGCAUUCGGUGUCCGUGUUCCCAGGAGAGACAGUCACCAUCGAGUGUAAAGCCAGUGCAAGUGUUGUACACAGUAAUGGCAAUACUUAUCUAAACUGGUAUCAACAGAAACCCGGACAAUCU